rnacentral:snoRNA from 1 species
UUGCAGUUAAUUAAGCUGACCAGGUCCCUUUCCCCGUGGAGGCCUGGUGUGCAAUGGUUGCCAACAGCAGCCUUAUUGGUAGUGCAUGCAACAUGUUGCCUGUAUGGGUUGCCCUAAGGGACCUUGGAGACAAUU